UACGAAGGGUGCAAGCGUUAAUCGGAAUUACUGGGCGUAAAGGGUGCGUAGGCGGUUGUUUAAGUCUGUCGUGAAAUCCCCGGGCUUAACCUGGGAACUGCAUUUGUGACUGCAUUGCUGGAGUGCGGCAGAGGGGGAUGGAAUUCCCGGUGUAGCGGUGAAAUGCGUAGAGAUCGGGAGGAACAUCAGUGGCGAAGGCGGCCAUCUGGGACAACACUGACGCUGAAGCACGAAAGCGUGGGGAGCAAACAGG
rnacentral:rRNA from 1 species